rnacentral:sRNA from 1 species
AGAGAGAGAGGGGGAGUGUUUGUGGGGCUGGAGGGGUGCAGCACCCUGCCAUUUGGGCUGUCGUAGGCAGGAACGGGAUGACUAAACUGCCUGAUCCUUCCCCAAGCCCAUUCUAGACUUCAUAGAGGGACUGUGAAUGGGGCAGCCCCAGUCUCUGCAGCUGCUGCUUCUGCUCUCUCCCAGGUCAGUGCCCAGGCCAGCAGUCACCGGGCUCCAUCGCACUUCCCCGACCCCAGCCCCAAAGCUGCCUCCUCUGCCCUUCUCUUUCAUCUCCUUUUCCUCCUACAGUAGGACUGGCUUGGGACCAGCUAUCUGAGGGUGAAGUUGUCCAGCGAUGGCUCAGCAAAGGCUCCCAAGGCUUCUUCAUUCAGCAAAGGCCCUUGGGAAAAACCCUUCAUGGCGUCGGAGAACACGCAUGGGGUGGGGAAUUCACUCCUCACUCAGAGAGUUCCCACUCCUCACUGUUACCCUGCUAAGAGCGCAGAGUCAAGAAAGGAGAGGCUGCUUCAGCUCAUGUCUAAGUAAUGUGGGAGCACGUUUGCCUCCAUGCCCAACUCCUCCCUCCUCCCUUGGUACCCAUCAGCCUUACUCACAUGUCUCAAGGCCAGUUUGUUUUGGGUCCUCAGCUCUCCUGCAAGAGUCUUCAGGCACUGUAAGUUGAAGGAGGGAGUGGGCAUGCAGGGGAGGGAAGGACUG